rnacentral:rRNA from 2 species
UACGUAGGCAGCAAGCGUUGUUCGGAGUUACUGGGCGUAAAGGGUGUGUAGGCGGUCCUCUAAGUUUGGUGUGAAAUCUCCCGGCUCAACUGGGAGGGUGCGCCGAAAACUGGAGGGCUAGAGUACUGGAUGGGAGAGUGGAAUUCCUGGUGUAGCGGUGAAAUGCGUAGAUAUCAGGAGGAACACCUGUGGUGUAGACGGCUCUCUGGACAGUAACUGACGCUGAGACACGAAAGCGUGGGUAGCAAACAGG